rnacentral:rRNA from 1 species
GUUUUGCAUUCAGGCAGCGGCAACAAGAAUGCCUUCAAGGCACUUAUUGCUGCAGAGUACUGUGGGGUCAAGGUUGAGCUCCCCAAGAACUUCGAGAUGGGUGUAUCAAACAAAACCCCUGAAUUCAUCAAGAUGAACCCCCUUGGGAAGGUUCCUGUUCUUGAGACUCCUGAUGGUGCUGUUUUUGAGAGCAAUGCUAUUGCACGCUAUGUUGCUCGCUCAAAGGGUGACAACCUGCUUUGGGGUGGUUCUCUUAUUGAAUAUGCACGUGUUGAGCAAUGGAUGGACUUUGCUGCCACAGAGGUUGAUCCCAAUAUCGCAAGGUGGUUGUACCCAAGGCUUGGUUAUAGGGCUUUCAAUGCCCAGGAUGAGGAAUUCGGCAUUGCUGGAUUAAAGAGGGCCCUUGAAGCAUUGAACACACACCUGGCAUCAAACACAUUCCUUGUUGGGCAUUCUGUCACUCUGGCUGAUAUUGUCAUGACAUGCAACCUCUACCAUGGUUUUGCUCGGAUCUUGACCAAGACUUUCACAUCUGAGUUCCCUCAUGUUGAGAGGUACUUCUGGACCAUGGUUAACCAGCCUAACUUCAAGAAGGUCAUUGGCGAAUUCAAGCAGGCAGAGGUUGUACCUCCUGUUCAGAAGAAGGCUGCUCCUGCUAAACAAAAGGAGGCCAAGAAAGAGGCUCCCAAGGCGGCCCCAAAGCCAGCAGUAGUUGAGGCACCAGAGGAAGAGGCACCAAAGCCUAAGCCCAAAAAUCCCCUUGAUCUACUGCCACCAAGCAAGAUGGUACUUGAUGACUGGAAGAGGCUAUACUCAAACACUAAGAGCAACUUCCAUGAUGUUGCUGUUAAAGGUUUCUGGGAGAUGUAUGACCCAGAGGGCUACUCUCUGUGGUUCUGUGACUACAAGUACCAGGAAGAGAACACCGUGUCGUACGUGACCCUGAACAAGGUCGGCGGGUUCCUGCAGCGGAUGGAUCUGUGCCGCAAGUAUGCUUUUGGCAAGAUGCUCGUGAUUGGUUCUGAGGCGCCCUUCAAGGUCAAGGGGCUGUGGCUCUUCCGUGGGCAGGACAUCCCUGAGUUCGUCAUGAAGGAGGUCUAUGACAUGGAGCUCUACGAGUGGACCAAGGUUGACCUCUCUGACGAGGCCCAGAAGAAGCGCGUGGAAGCCAUGAUCGAGGACCUUGAGCCGUUCGAGGGGCAGGCCUUGCUGGACGCCAAGUGCUUCAAGUAA